UACGGAGGGUGCGAGCGUUGUCCGGAAUCACUGGGCGUAAAGGGCGCGUAGGCGGCUCGAUAAGCGUGUGGUGAAAGCCUGGGGCUCAACCCCGGGUCGGCCAUGCGAACUGUCGAGCUGGAGCACUGUAGAGGCAGGCGGAAUUCCGGGUGUAGCGGUGGAAUGCGUAGAGAUCCGGAAGAACACCGGUGGCGAAGGCGGCCUGCUGGGCAGUAGCUGACGCUGAGGCGCGACAGCGUGGGGAGCAAACAGG
rnacentral:rRNA from 1 species